CCCCAUUAAUACCCUAACUACUUAGAUGAGAAACGGUGGCUCUCACAGUCCCUGCUGAAUGAAUGUAUAUCUGGAGCAUUCUGGAGAAUAUCAAAGUCAGGAGUUCAUUCAUAUAAAUAGGGCACAGACCAAAGCAAAUCAAUAUCUCCAUGACGCAUCUUCCUUCAAGGCACAGAAGCCCUUAGCAUUGUGUUUCAGGGAGUAAGGUGACCUGCCCUGAGCUCUCUGCAUCAUCUCACUUGGGUCUUCAUGUCUCCUGGCUUUUUCCUGGUAGGUUGCCCUG
rnacentral:lncRNA from 1 species